AGAGUUUGAUCAUGGCUCAGAGCGAACGCUGGCGGCGUGCUUAACACAUGCAAGUCGAACGUGAAAGGGAGCAAUCCUGAGUAAAGUGGCGUACGGGUGAGUAAUACGUAGAUAAUCUACCCCAGAGUCUGGAAUAACCUGCCGAAAGGCGGGCUAAUACUGGAUAGAGCGAUGGAAUCCGUAAUUGGGUUUUUCGGGAA
rnacentral:rRNA from 1 species